rnacentral:rRNA from 1 species
UUUGAUUAUGGCUCAGGAUGAACGCUGGCGGCGUGCUUAACACAUGCAAGUCGAACGAACCUUCGGGUUAGUGGCGGACGGGUGAGUAACGCGUGGGAAUCUGCCCUCAGGAGGGGGAUAACGGCCGGAAACGGCCGCUAAUACCCCAUAUGCCGAGAGGUGAAAUGAAUUUCGCCUGAGGAUGAGCCCGCGUCUGAUUAGCUAGUUGGUGAGGUAAGAGCUCACCAAGGCAUCGAUCAGUAGCUGGUCUGAGAGGAUGAUCAGCCACACUGGGACUGGGACACGGCCCAGACUCCUACGGGAGGCAGCAGUGGGGAAUUUUCCGCAAUGGGCGAAAGCCUGACGGAGCAACGCCGCGUGAGGGAUGAAGGCCUCUGGGCUGUAAACCUCUUUUAUCAAGGAAGAAGAUCUGACGGUACUUGAUGAAUAAGCCACGGCUAAUUCCGUGC